rnacentral:rRNA from 1 species
UACGGAGGAUCCGAGCGUUAUCCGGAUUUAUUGGGUUUAAAGGGUGCGUAGGCGGUCAGGUAAGUUAGAGGUGAAAGCUCGAUGCUCAACAUCGAAACUGCCUCUGAUACUGUCUGACUAGAGUGUAGUUGCGGAAGGCGGAAUGUGUGGUGUAGCGGUGAAAUGCUUAGAUAUCACACAGAACACCGAUUGCGAAGGCAGCUUACCAGACUGAGUCUGACGCUGAUGCACGAGAGCAUGGGUAGCGAACAGG